ensembl:lncRNA GUSBP1 GUSB pseudogene 1
AGUUUGGGCUGUCUCUGUGGCUGGUUCUGCGGCGUGCGGCCAGCCAUGGAGCGCUCUGGGCCCAGCGAAGUGACAGGCUCAGACGCAUCGGGACCGGACCCGCAGCUUGCGGUCACCAUGGGCUUCACGGGGUUCGGUGAGUGACUGCCCCAGGCAGAGACCCUCUUCCUUUUGCAGAGGUUUGAAGAGCCGCAGAGUGGGAGGGGAGAUCGAGCUGUCAACUCGGAAUUACUGUAGCUCGGGUAAAAAAGCUCGCACAUUUGACUUGGAAGCAAUGUUUGAACAAACUCGAAGAACAGCUGUGGAAAGAAGUUGCAAAACACUGGGGCUGGUGAAUUACCAGAUCUCCGUCAAGUGCAGUAACCAGUUCAAGUUGGAAGUGUGUCUUUUGAAAUCAGAAAACAAAGUCGUGGACAACCAGGCUGGGACCCAGGGCCAGCUGAAGGUGCUGGGUGCCAACCUCUGGUGGCCGUACCUGAUGCACGAACACCCCGCCUACCUGUACUCGUGGGAGGAUGGUGAUUGCUCACACCAAAGCCUUGGACCCCUCCCAGCCUGUGACCUUUGUGACCAACUCCACCUACGCAGCAGACAAGGGGGCUCUGUAUGUGGAUGUGAUCCGUGUGAACAGCUACUACUCUUGGUAUCGCAACUACGGGCACCUGGAGUUGAUUCAGCUGCAGCUGGCCGCCCAGUUUGAGAACUGGUGUAAGACAUCACAAUCCCAUUAUUCAGAGCGUGUAUGGAGUGGAAACGCUUGUAGGGUUUCACCAGGAUCCACCUUGAUGUUCAGUGAAGAGUACCAGAAAAGUCUGCUAGAGCAGUACCAUCUGGGUCUCAAUCAAAAACGCAGAAAAUACGUGGUUGGAGAGCUCAUCUGGAAUUUUGCCGAUUUCAUGACUAACCAGUUUCUGCAGGCUGUACAGGAAGCACAGCGGCAUCUUCUUCUGGAGAGGCCUCAGGGAGCUUUUACUCAUGACAGAAGGCAAAGCAGGAGCAGGCACUUCACAUGGUGAAAGCAGGAACAAGAGAGAGAGAGUGUGUUGGGGUAGGUGCACUACCAUGGAGACAGCACCAAGCCACGCCUUAAGGAUUCGACCCCAUGAUCCAAACACUUCCCACCAAGCUCCACCUUCAGCACUGGGGAUCUGGUUUCAACAUGAGAUUUGGGCGGGACAUCCAAACUAUAUCAUCUGUCUCCCUCAUCCAAGACCAUGUGAUCCGUAGCUCACUUUUGUCUAGCAACAGAUUAAAUACGGCAUUUUCUGUGUGAUAUCUUUGUUGAGGUCUUUGCAGAUGCUGUUUCUUUGUCCUGAAACUUUCUUCAUCUGCUCUUUCAAAAUGAGUGACUCUUCAUCCUCGAAGUCUAUGCUUAUAUAUUGCUUUUCAGAGGAAUCUUUUCUGAACUGGGCAUUCUGCCUUCAACCAACUAUUUUCUAUUAUAGUUUCCUGUUUGUGAGUUAAUAGUCCUUUUCAAAAUUUGACUACUCAUUUACCUUCUUGGGUUAUUUGAAAUUAUCUCCUCUUCACUAGAUUCUAUAGAAGCAUAGCCAUGCCUGCCCUCUUUACUGUUUCUCUACUGACUUGUUGCAAUGAAUAUUCUCAGUAAACAUGGAAAUAAACCAGUUAUUCAGAUA